rnacentral:rRNA from 1 species
CCUACGGGGGGCAGCAGUGGGGAAUAUUGCACAAUGGGGGAAACCCUGAUGCAGCGACGCCGCGUGAGUGAAGAAGUAAUUCGUUAUGUAAAGCUCUAUCAACAGGGAAGAAAAUGACGGUACCUGGGGAGGAAGCUCCGGCUAACUACGUGCCAGAAGCCGCGGUAAUACGUAGGGAGCGAGCGUUGUCCGGAAUUACUGGGGGUAAAGGGAGAGUAGGCGGGGAGUCAGGUUGGUGGUAAAAACUACCGGCUAAACCGGUAGUCGCACUCAACACUGCAGCUCUUGAGUGAAGUAGAGGCAGGCGGAAUUCCUAGUGUAGCGGUGAAAUGCGUAGAUAUUAGGAGGAACACCAGUGGCGAAGGCGGCCUGCUGGGCUUUUACUGACGCUGAGGCUCGAAAGUGUGGGGAGCAAACAGGAUUAGAUACCCGUGUAGUC